rnacentral:rRNA from 1 species
GUGUCAGCAGCCGCGGUAAGACGAAGGGGGCUAGCGUUGUUCGGAAUUACUGGGCGUAAAGGGCGCGUAGGUGGCUCCGCAAGUCAGGCGUUAAAGACCCAGGCUUAACCUGGGGAAUGCGCUUGAGACUGCAGAGCUUGAGACCGGAAGAGGAGAGUGGAAUUCCCAGUGUAGAGGUGAAAUUCGUAGAUAUUGGGAAGAACACCAGUGGCGAAGGCGGCUCUCUGGUCCGGUUCUGACACUAAGGCGCGAAAGCGUGGGGAGCAAACAGGAUUAGAAACCCCUGUAGUCC